rnacentral:rRNA from 1 species
AACGAACGCUGGCGGCAUGCCUAACACAUGCAAGUCGAACGAGACCUUCGGGCCUAGUGGCGCACGGGUGCGUAACGCGUGGGAACCUGCCCUUAGGUUCGGAAUAACUCCCCGAAAGGGGUGCUAAUACCGGAUAAUGUCUUCGGACCAAAGAUUUAUCGCCUUUGGAUGGGCCCGCGUUGGAUUAGCUAGUUGGUAGGGUAAAAGCCUACCAAGGCGACGAUCCAUAGCUGGUCUGAGAGGAUGAUCAGCCACACUGGGACUGAGACACGGCCCAGACUCCUACGGGAGGCAGCAGUGGGGAAUAUUGGACAAUGGGCGAAAGCCUGAUCCAGCAAUGCCGCGUGAGUGAGGAAGGCCUUAGGGUUGUAAAGCUCUUUUACCCGGGAUGAUAAUGACAGUACCGGGAGAAUAAGCUCCGGCUAACUCCGUG